rnacentral:rRNA from 1 species
GAUGAACGCUGGCGGCGUGCCUAAUACAUGCAAGUCGAGCGAAUGGAUUAAGAGCUUGCUCUUAUGAAGUUAGCGGCGGACGGGUGAGUAACACGGGGGUAACCUGCCCAUAAGACUGGGAUAACUCCGGGAAACCGGGGCUAAUACCGGAUAAUAUUUUGAACUGCAUGGUUCAAAAUUGAAAGGCGGCUUCGGCUGUCACUUAUGGAUGGACCCGCGUCGCAUUAGCUAGUUGGUGCGGUAACGGCUCACCAAGGCAACGAUGCGUAGCCGACCUGAGAGGGUGAUCGGCCACACUGGGACUGAGGCACGGCCCAGACUCCUACGGGAGGCAGAAGUAGGGAAUCUUCCGCAAUGGACGAAAGUCUGACGGAGCAACGCCGCGUGAGUGAUGAAGGCUUUCGGGUCGUAAAACUCUGUUGUUAGGGAAGAACAAGUGCUAGUUGAAUAAGCUGGCACCUUGUCGGUACCUAACCAGAAAGCCACGGCUAACUACGUGCCAGCCGCCGCGGUAA